UACGGGGGGAGCAAGCGUUGUUCGGAUUUACUGGGCGUAAAGGGCGCGUAGGCGGCGCAACAUGAGUCUUGUGAAAUCUCCGGGCUUAACCCGGAGCGGCCAAGUGAUACUGUCGUGCUAGAGUGCGGAAGGGGCUACUGGAAUUCUCGGUGUAGCGGUGAAAUGCGUAGAUAUCGGGAAGAACACCCGUGGCGAAGGCGGUUCUCUGGGACGGUACUGACGCUGAGACGCGAAAGCGUGGGGAGCGAACAGG
rnacentral:rRNA from 1 species